AGCUCAAAUUUGAAAGCUGGCCUUCGGGUCCGCAUUGUAAUUUGUAGAGGAUGCUUUGGGGCAGCCGCCUGUCUAAGUUCCUUGGAACAGGACGUCAUAGAGGGUGAGAAUCCCGUAUGUGACAGGACAUGGCACCCUAUGUAAAGCUCCUUCGACGAGUCGAGUUGUUUGGGAAUGCAGCUCUAAAUGGGAGGUAAAUUUCUUCUAAAGCUAAAUACCGGCGAGAGACCGAUAGCGCACAAGUAGAGUGAUCGAAAGAUGAAAAGCACUUUGGAAAGAGAGUUAAAAAGCACGUGAAAUUGUUGAAAGGGAAGCGCUUGCAAUCAGACUUGUUUUGACUGUUCGGCCGGUCUUCUGACCGGUUUACUCAGUCUGGACAGGCCAGCAUCAGUUUUGGCGGCCGGAUAAAGGCUCAGGGAAUGUGGCUCUCACUUCGGUGGGAGUGUUAUAGCCCUGGGUGUAAUACGGCCAGCCGGGACUGAGGUCCGCGCUUCGGCUAGGAUGCUGGCGUAAUGGUUGUAAGCGACCCGUCUUGAA
rnacentral:rRNA from 1 species